AAGUCGUAACAAGGUUUCCGUAGGUGAACCUGCGGAAGGAUCAUUACCGAGUAAGGGUCCCUCUGGGGCCCGACCUCCUACCCUCUGUCUACCUGACCUCUUGUUGCUUCGGCGGAUCCGUCCCUUCGGGGACCGCCGGAGAGUGCGUCAAACCGCUCUCUGGCCCGCGUCCGUCGAUGGCCUCUACAAAACUCUUGCUAAAAACGUGUCGACUGAGUCUUAAACAAAAUAAUUAAAAACUUUCAACAACGGAUCUCUUGGUUCUG
rnacentral:misc_RNA from 1 species